CCAUCCAGUCACCCAGCCUCGGGAUGGACCCAUCAUCGCUGACGCCUCCACUUCUUUCACAUCCCAAGUCAGGUACGUCUCCAGUUCCUGAUAAUUGUAUGUCCUACAUGCCACUCAACGCUGCCUCUUCCUCCCUGUUUUCACCAUCGCAGUCUGGCUUCUGUCAUUACCGUCCGUCUUUCAUACCGUCGUAGCUCUUCUGCUGGUCUCACUGCCUCUUUUGGGGAUCUUGUUACUCUACCUCUAUUAACUCUUUGACAGUGUAAAAAAGAUCAUGCUUUUAUUAAAAAAAUAUGAAUUUAUUAACACAGCACAACCCUCUUCUCUCCCCAUUCUGGUUCUUUAAACCCUCAUUCCCAGUUAUAGCAAAGCUGGAAUCUUCCCAGAGAGUCCAGACUUUCUCUUUCUGAAGACUUGGCACACACUGGGUUUCUGCUUAGGAAGGUUUUCCUUGUCUGCUCUUCUUCUGAAUCCUUGUAUUCACCUUUUUUGCUGCGUCUCAGGGGUCACUUCCUUAAGGAAACUUCUUCUAACCCUGCCAAUAAGAGCCUGUCUGUGCCUUGUGAUCAGUGGUUUCCUUGGUCAGGCAGGGAUAUUGCCACGAGUAGUAUAUCUCCAGCAUGCAGCUAGAUUCCUAGCACAGACUAGGCUCUCGAUAGAUGUUUAAGGAAUGAAUUAUGAAUGAAUGAUUGGAAAGCUUGCCAAUAGCGUGUCAUAGUAUUGACGUGGGUCCAUUGUAUAAACAAUCUCCAAGUACGUUUGCAAACACAUUUCUACUUGUGGCUAUUUGGGAAAGAAAACAGUGAAAACAAACAAACAAAAAAGGCUGUAUGUGCAACACCAAUAAAAAGGAAGUUUGGCCCUGAGUGCAUAAACAGACCAUCUGACCUUUUGCUGCUAAUAGUCUAAAUUGAUUGAUUACAUGAAUUCCAGAAGUGUGUGUGUGUUUUGUUUGUUUUUUGUUUUUUGUUUUGUUUGUUUUUUUUUGUCUUUUGUCUUUUUGUUGUUGUUGUUGUUGUUGCUAUUUCUUGGGCCGCUCAAGCGGCAUAUGGAGGUUCCCAGGCUAGGGGUUUAAUGGGAGCUGUAGCCACGGGCCUACGCCAGAGCCACAGCACCGCGGGAUCCGAGCCGCGUCUGCAACCUACACCACAGCUCACGGCAACGCCGGAUCCUUAACCCACUGAGCAAGGGCAGGGACCGAACCCGCAAUCUCAUGGUUCCUAGUCGGAUUCGUUAACCACUGCGCCACGACGGGAACUCCCAUAGUUUGUUUUAAACAUAGCUGUGGGCUAAGCUUAAUCGAGAUUUUUAUUUAACAUGAUGUAUUUAUUUGGAACCAGAGGCCUUUGGGGACCUUUGGGGACCUUUGCUGUCUGGAUUUACGGCACCAAGAAUGUGCAGCGAGUGUGUGUGGGGCAGCAUGUGGGUUGUGGUGUGGAGCAGGUGACGGGCUGUGAGAGGUCUGUCCCCUUCCGUCUAAAAGCAGCUCGAGACUGGAGUAAGAGUCAUACCGAUACCUCAUAAUGUUUUCUAUUUUAACUCUGGAAACUCCCCUACUUCCCUUCGCAAAGGCAUAUUUUUCAUGACAUGAUUUCUUCUGGUUGACAAAUUCCUUUUUAUUCUUCCCCAAUAGAAUGUAUCAGUUUCCUUUUUGGCAUUCCAGUUUAGUUUUAUAGCCCCAAACUUCAGAUUUUAGAACUGGUGUUUAAAAGUUCAUUCCUUCUGAGAAAACAAGUAGGAAAACAGUGUCCGACAUUAUAAAGGUGAACCCUGUGCUCCACCUGCACAGCAUUACAACUGGCUAAUAGCAGUUUCAUUUGGGGGAGGUAUCUCCUAAAGAUGCAUAAGGGUUCAUGUUUUAAUAGUUUUCAUGUUUUCCCCUUUUUACUUUCUCUUUAUAGAAAUUGGAGACAUUUGUGUUUCAUCACGGUCCCUCCAGGGUUAUUGCAAAUUCUGACAGUAUCAUUAAAGCUACUUUGAACCUUCUAUUUUUUAUGUACUUAUUUAUUUCGCAGACUUUAGCAAGCUUAGAAUUAAUGUUUUCACUAUUUUCUCAACCUUUUAUUAAUCCAUAUAAAAAAUUUAAAGCUACCGACUCAUCAUAUUGCUUUUUCACUCAGCGUUGUCUUAGGGUUAUGCUAACAAACAGCUGACGAGGACGCUAUAUUUCUCAGCUAACAAGGUAGGAAGCAAGGGACAAGAGUCACCCUUCCCAACUUGAAGAAGAGAAAGUGGAAAAUAAGUAUUAGGAGGCGCCUCAGGAAACCCGAGUAUUUUCACCCUGCUUAUUUCCACUACUCCAAAUGGAAAUAUUGCUCAAAGGAGAAUUUUUCACGCCACCUCCUGUAUCUUGAAACGAAAUACAUGCAUUUUCUUUUAAAAUGUAAGAAUUUUAAUGGCUUUUUUCACACAAUUCUGUGUUUGUCUCUCCUUACUCUUGCAGGGAACUGGCUCAUUUACCGGUUUAUAGGGACUUGGUUGAUGCAGUCACGUACAUACACACACAUGUACACGCGUGGAUGUUCACAUACAGUGAACACUGCCUUUUUACAGUUCAUGGUGCAUUCCUUCACACGUUCAGUUUAUUUAACUAGUUCUUUGUUGAUGAGCACUUAGGCUGUUUAAAAUAUUUUGCUGUUACAAAUAACGCUGUAGCGGUAACACUGCACAGAUAUUUCUCGUGAAGGUACUAGUCUCGUCCAAUUGUUCUCAGAACUGAAUUAUGUGAUCAGAAGUUAUAUGCAUUUGUAAUAUACAUAUAUUAUACAUAUAUAUAUGUCCAAAUAACCUCCAUAGAAGUAGAACACAUGUGUGCGUUUGUGUGUGUGUGUGUGUGUGUGUGUGUGUGUGUGUGUAAAGGGGGGGCAGAUCGUGUAUUUCUAUCAGCAACAUGAGAGUUGACUGGACUUUUGAAAAAGUCUUUGAUCUUUCACGCCAAGAAUUUCCACCCAUCCUCCCUUCCCAGGGCCACCUUCAGACACCAUGUCCUUCACAGAAAAGGCAGUCAGAGGAAAAGAGAUGAGGUCUCGUGGGCAGAACUAACGAGGUUUGAAAUGUCUUUUUUACGUAGCAGUGCCCCUGACUCCAUGGAACUCCGUGUGUUGAGUUUUGUCUGUAUGUUACACUUUGCGUGCACUAAAAUAAAACUUAGUAUUUUUCCCCUGAGACUUAUAUUCGAUUAAAUGUGUAAUUUUAAAAUGCGUUUAGAUUUACAGAAAAAUUUCAAUGUCACAUAAAUUGCACAGAUGGUACAGAGACCUCCUGUGUAUCCUAAUCCAGUUCCUCUCUUAAUAACAGCUUACCUUCCUAUGUACAUUUGUUAAACUUUAAACUCGUUAAAAUUCUAUGAACCAAACAUGCAUUCUGAAGGUUUCCUCACUUUUUACCUUUUGUCCUUUUUCUGUUCCAAGGUGUCCAUCCAAGAUGCCACAUUCCUGUCCACCUUGGUGCUUCUUCUUAAAGUAAUAUGUCAACCUCUGGGUUCUUUAGUCUGAAAUCUCAUUGUUCCGCUGAGAACUUACUUCUCAAAUGGAUGAUGCUCUGGUCUGAAUGUUUGUGUCCACCCCAAAUUCAUAUGUUGAAAACCUAAUAUUCAAGGUGAUAGGAUUGGGGGGGGGGGACCUGUGGGAGGUGAUGAGGUCCUAGCACCACUUGAACAGUGUUGGAGUCUUUAUAAGAGAGGUGGCAGAGGCCUAGCUGUCCCCCCCAACCAUGCUGGCCACAGUAAGACAUGGGACCUCCCCCAACCCUGAUCUUAGACCCCCAUCAUUCAGAACCGUUUGGGGUUCGUAGCUGCAAACUAUUACUUUCAGAAUGGAUAAGCAAUGAGGUCCUGCUGUACAGCCCAGGGAAUUCUGUCCAAUCCCUUGUGAUAGAACAGGAUGGAAGAUAACGUGAGAAAAGCAUGUAUAUACAUACAUACAUGUAUAUAGGACUAGGUCACUUUGCCAUACAGUAGAAAUUGACAGAACAUUGUAAAUCCACAAUACUUUAAUUUUUAAAAAUUAAAAGAAAAAAGAAAAAAUAUAUAUAUAUAGUUUACAGGCUGCCCAGUCUGUGGUAUUGUGUUUUAGCAGCACAAACAGACUAAGACAGAGGAUUAUUUCUCCUUCACAGACAGUAUACCUGAGGGUGGGGAUCAGGGACCAGGGUCCCCCUUGCCUCUCUGUGCUGCCUGCAGACCGUCGCUUCAUCUCCACAUUUCAAAACCCCUGCUCCCAUGAGACGGAAACGAUUGAAAUCUGUCCUACCGCCUCUUCACUGCUGCCGGAAUGGUUCUCCCGGUCGCUUCCUUCUUUCACUGACAGUUUUAACCUCUGGAUCACUGGUGUAUUUCCCAUUUCUUCAUCUACCUUCGACCCUAUUCCUGGAAAUUACCGGCUGCUGGCAUCCACCCGGAGGUGCCAUCCAUGGUGAUUGUGGAGGUACCGUCCACAUCUUGACCUUGGAGCUUCGGGCAUCCUCAGCUGCAGUGGCCUUCCCUGCAGUGCCCUAAGGCCACCGCCUCCCAGGUCCUACAUCAGAAAACAA
rnacentral:lncRNA from 1 species